rnacentral:rRNA from 1 species
CCUGGGGAGUGCGGUCGCAAGAUUAAAACUCAAAGGAAUAGACGGGGACCCGCACAAGUGGUGGAGCAUGUGGUUUAAUUCGAAGAUACGCGAAGAACCUUACCUAGCCUUGACAUAUAUUAGAACACUUUAGAGAUAGAGUGGUGCCUUCGGGAGCUUUUAUACAGGUGCUGCACGGCUGUCGUCAGCUCGUGUCGUGAGAUGUUGGGUUAAGUCCCGCAACGAGCGCAACCCUCGUCACUAGUUACUAACGGUUCGGCCGAGGACUCUAGUGAGACUGCCUUCGCAAGGAGGAGGAAGGUGAGGACGACGUCAAGUCAUCAUGGCCCUUACGGCUAGGGCAACACACGUGCUACAAUGGCCAGGACAAUGAGACGCGAUACCGCGAGGUGGAGCAAAUCUAUAAACCUGGUCUCAGUUCGGAUUGUUCUCUGCAACUCGAGAACAUGAAGCUGGAAUCACUAGUAAUCGUAGAUCAGCUAUGCUACGGUGAAUACGUUCCCGGGUCUUGCACACACUGCCCGU